rnacentral:rRNA from 1 species
UUUAUGGAGAGUUUGAUCCUGGCUCAGGAUGAACGCUGGCGGCGUGCCUAAUACAUGCAAGUCGAGCGAACAGAUGAGAAGCUUGCUUCUCUGAUGUUAGCGGCGGACGGGUGAGUAACACGUGGGUAACCUACCUAUAAGACUGGGAUAACUCCGGGAAACCGGGGCUAAUACCGGAUAAUAUUUUGAACCGCAUGGUUCGAUAGUGAAAGACGGUUUCGGCUGUCACUUAUAGAUGGACCCGCGCCGUAUU